AGAACGAACGCUGGCGGCAUGCCUAACACAUGCAAGUCGAACGCUCACCGGGCUUCGGUUCGGUGGGAGUGGCGCACGGGUGAGUAGCGCGUGGGAACCUGCCCUGUUGUGGGGGAUAACCGAGGGAAACUUCGGCUAAUACCGCAUGCGCCCGGGGAAACCCGGGAAAGAUUUAUCGCAGCAGGAGGGGCCCGCGUCGGAUUAGGUAGUUGGUAGGGUAACGGCCUACCAAGCCUGUGAUCCGUAGCUGGUCUGAGAGGAUGAUCAGCCACACUGGGACUGAAACACGGCCCAGACUCCUACGGGAGGCAGCAGUGGGGAAUAUUGGACAAUGGGCGCAAGCCUGAUCCAGCAAUGCCGCGUGAGUGAUGAAGGCCUUAGGGUUGUAAAGCUCUUUCGCCCGCGACGAUGAUGACGGUAGCGGGAGAAGAAGCCCCGGCUAACUUCGUGCCAGCAGCCGC
rnacentral:rRNA from 1 species